rnacentral:lncRNA from 1 species
UGCACAUCAAGAAAAUCACUAAUAAGAGCACUUUGUUAUCACUUUCAUUACCAAAACGAUGCAAGAAGGUGAUUAUUCAGGGCCUGAAUAUAGUUAAAUUCACCUAUUACCAACACCCCACACUUAAACCUUUGCUCGUCCUCGAGCAAGCUAAACCACACUUUUAGGCCUAACUAUUCCCUGCAUUACCCAAAGUUAUGUUACAC